rnacentral:lncRNA from 1 species
UGGCUUCAUAUUCCUAAAAUUGUGAUUCUCGAUGUUCAUUCUUCUCGUACGGCCACGAUAGUUUCAAGUUGGAGUUUAAGUCUAAAGGAUCAAAGAUGCUUUCUUUAAAUUUCAUUUAUCUUGGUCAUAUUAAUUUUCACAUCUUUCUAUGUACUAGUUUACUCUCUUUUUUUUAUUCUUUUACGUACUAUUUUACUUUUAGCAAUUUUUUUUAAUUAAUUUCUAUAUGAUAUAUAUAUAUAUACACACACACCCCUUCUUGGCUGCGGACGUCCGCACCGAAGCUUUUGGUGCGGAUUUCCAUUUUUGCACCACUUUCCGAUCGAAUUUCCUCGAUCUCCACCAUCUAGUAUCUAGAUAAUAUUGUGUAGAUCAUCUCUGCAAAAUUUCAGCCAAAUUGGUGAUCGUUAAGGUCCUCAAACUCGAGUUUUUCUGGUAUGAACACAACCGGACAGAAUUCAGUCCGUCCAUUUGUUUUUCGAGUUUGAGGGCCUUAACGAUUACCAAAUUAGCUGAAAUUUUACAGAGAUGAUCUACACAAUAUUAUCUAGAUACUAGACGGUGGAGAUGAGAAAAUUCGAUCGAAAAGUGGUGCAAAAAUGGAAAUCCGCACCAAAACUUUGGUGCGGACGUCCGCACCUGAGAAUUCAUGUAUAUAUAUAUAUAUAUAUUUUUAUCAGGUAAACAACUCAAAUAUUAUAACUUCGUGAGUCGAAUUCACAACCUCUCACUUAUUAAGAGGAGACUAUCCCACUAGACCAAAUGAUUUUGGGCCUAUAUGAUAUUUUCUUCAUACUUUCAUCAAUGUUUUUUUAAGCUUUCAAUAAUUCCAUAAAUUCUGAUGCUUUAGCCAUUGAAUUGGACACAUACAUAUGGUAUCAACUUAGACUUUGACUUCAACAAACAAAAUAGGAAGUUGAAAAAGUCAACUGAAAAGUUGCUCCACCAAAGGCGGAGCUAAGGAUACCAAAUCUAGGGUUUUGUGUAAGGCGGCAGUGAGAACCGAUUGCGGGCUCUCUCGACGGCACCUCAUCUCUCCAGGUGAGGCGUUCAGUGGUGGUGAUUUGUUGCUGAGCGCGAAGAUUCCUCAGUUCUUUGCACGACGAGCGUGGGUGGGUGACGCGAGUUUGACAUCGACGACAAAUCGAGGAUCGACGGGGUAAGAGGUUUGAGCCUUGAAUCUGAGUCGACGGUGUCGGUAUUGAUUACCCUGAGAAGCGAAUCUUGCUCUUAAGAUAGCGAGUCCCAGCUCUAACGAGAGGCGGUGGCGGUUGUUCGUCUUUAGCGGCACAACAAGGCUAAGGAAUCAUGACAGCAAGGCACGAGGGACUGCCGGACUGAUUUGGUGGCGUGGCGGCUCCGGUGGUUCUAGGUUAGGCAGAUUUGAUCAGAUUUGGUAGAGAGGAGGGUACCAUGUGGGCUAGGCUUUUGCCUUUGGCCCAUUGCUUCUCUCUCUUUUGUUGAAGGUUAUAUGCUUUCUAGUUGUCAUAUCCAUUUUUUUUUAUGUAUGGUCUUCAGACUAUUUAUACUUGAUCUUUUGGCCGUCAUGAUCUUUAAUCAAUGGAACAUUUUCCAAUUCCCUUAUAAAAAAACAAACAAAAAAACUUCAAAGGACAUAAUGAACAGAUCACGUAUGCAAGACAUGAGAGCA